GUGACUUUGGCCGAGUGGUUAAGGCGAGGCACUGCUACGGUCCUCGCGAGAGUUCGAAUCUGACCAGCCACA
rnacentral:tRNA from 1 species